CCAAAUAAUUCCUACAAACUCUUUUUUGUACAAGAUAAAGAAGAAAGAUUCUAGUUCAUGUACUUUUUGUAAACUUGAUGACGAAACUAUUGUACAUUUUUUCUAUGAUUGUCCAAUAACAUAUCAAUUUUGGUCAUCAUUAUUACAGCAAAUAAGAUUGUAUAGCAGGGAUUUUGCCAUCAGUAAAAAGCAGAUAUUCCUUGGUUUCUAUUCAGAAAGCUUAUUCAUGAAUCUUUUAUUUAUAGUAGCAAAAAAUUAUAUUAUAAAUGUAAGUUUAAGGAACUUACUCCUAAUAUUUUUGGUUUUAAAAAUAGAAUAAAACAAUAUCAGUCAUAUGAAUAUUAUAUUGCAAAGAAAAAUAAUAAUGUUGAUGUAUAUGAAAAAUUUUGGACCCCAUUACAAUAUAUAUUUCCACCAUAGAGUAUGAUAUUAAUCUGUGAGCAAAUUUUUUGAUUAGAUUUUGUUUAUUCUUUGAUGCAUAUAAUUGUAAACAAUAAUUAUGUACAUAAUUAAGUAAUGUAUGUGUGUAUGUAAGUAAGAAUUGUAUGUGUGUAUGAGAGACUGAGAGAAAGUGAAAGUGAAUGCAAGUGGUUCUCAUUUCUUUUUUCUAUUUACCUCUUUACAUUGGUAUUUCCUGAUAUUUAUUUAUAUAUUCAUAAAUUUUUACCCUUUCCGUUUUUUUUUUUUGUUUUUUUUGUGCUUUCUUUUUCUUAAUUACUUUCAGUGUGUUUUAAAGCUUAUCUUAGUUAUUUAUUUAUUUUUAUUUUAUUUAUUUAUAUUUUUUUCUUGUGAGGGAGGAGUUUAAAUUUAAUAAAAUCAUUUAAACAUUUAUUGCUUUAAAAAAGGGAGGGAAGAGAGAAGAAAGAGAAAAAAGAAAUGAAACUACUCUUGAUUUAUAAUCUUUGUUUGAUUCCUUAAAAUCCAAAACUAAAUAAUAUGUCAUUUAUGAAGAAUUGUUUAUUUUUUGUUUGUUAGACAUUAGACAUUUAUGUCGAACCAUCUUUAUAUUUGUUAGCAUUUAACUUACAUGUAUUUAUACCGGUAUAUUAUAUAUAUAUAUUUGGUGAAUAUUACUAACAACCACUAACUCCUGUAUAUAUAAAUAUCAUUACUAAUGUUAACGAGGCCGGGAUAAGGUACCGGUAAUCGAUGUUUUAAACUAACAAAUGUAAAGAUUUCAAUAAAAUAUAUAAACCUUAAAAAAAAAAAAAAAAAAAAAAAAAAAAAAAAAAAAAAAAAAAAAAAAAAAAAAAAAAAAAAAAA
rnacentral:lncRNA from 1 species